rnacentral:ncRNA from 1 species
UUAGCUAUUUUAGAUAAUGUUUGUAUUCAUCACUGGAUGCAAACAGGGCAAAACGCAAGUUUGUAUCUAUGAUGGCUAGAGCAAUUUCACGUACCACCAGCCACGUAGAGGAAAUACUAAGUGGCUGAGGAUAAGAAAAUGAUUAUCUCGUAUGUACAAUCAUCCACUUAGCAUUCUGAGUGGGUGA